rnacentral:rRNA from 1 species
AGUGAACGCUGGCGGUAGGCCUAACACAUGCAAGUCGAACGGCAGCACAGUAAGAGCUUGCUCUUACGGGUGUCGAGUGGCGGACGGGUGAGGAAUACAUCGGAAUCUACUUUUUCGUGGGGGAUAACGUAGGGAAACUUACGCUAAUACCGCAUACGACCUACGGGUGAAAGCACGGGAUCUUCGGACCUUGCGCGAUUGAAUGAGCCGAGGUCGGAUUAGCUAGUUGGCGGGGUAAAGGCCCACCAAGGCGACGAUCCGUAGCUGGUAUGAGAGGAUGAUCAGCCACACUGUAAGUGAGACACGGUCCAGACUCCUACGGGAGGCAGCGGUGGGGAAUAUUGGACAAUGGGGGCAAGCCUGAUCCAGCCAUACCGCGUGGGUGAAGAAGGCCUUCGGGUUGUAAAGCCCUUUUGUUGGGAAAGAAAAGCAGCAGGUUAAGACCCCGCUGUUCUGACGGUACCCAAAGAAUAAGCACCGGCUAACUUCGUG